rnacentral:rRNA from 1 species
GUGGGGAAUAUUGGACAAUGGGCGAAAGCCUGAUCCAGCCAUGCCGCGUGUGUGAAGAAGGUCUUCGGAUUGUAAAGCACUUUAAGUUGGGAGGAAGGGCAGUAAGUUAAUACCUUGCUGUUUUGACGUUACCAACAGAAUAAGCACCGGCUAACUUCGUGCCAGCAGCCGCGGUAAUACGAAGGGUGCAAGCGUUAAUCGGAAUUACUGGGCGUAAAGCGCGCGUAGGUGGUUCAGCAAGUUGGAGGUGAAAUCCCCGGGCUCAACCUGGGAACUGCCUCCAAAACUACUGAGCUAGAGUACGGUAGAGGGUAGUGGAAUUUCCUGUGUAGCGGUGAAAUGCGUAGAUAUAGGAAGGAACGCCAGUGGCGAAGGCGACUACCUGGACUGAUACUGACACUGAGGUGCGAAAGCGUGGGGAGCAAACAGGAUUAGAUACCCUAGUAGUCC